rnacentral:rRNA from 1 species
UAGGGAAUCUUCCGCAAUGGACGCAAGUCUGACGGAGCAACGCCGCGUGAGUGAAGAAGGAUUUCGGUUCGUAAAACUCUGUUGUUAGAGAAGAACAGCGCAUAGAGUAACUGUUAUGCGUGUGACGGUAUCUAACCAGAAAGCCACGGCUAACUACGUGCCAUCAGCCGCGGUAAUACGUAGGUGGCAAGCGUUGUCCGGAUUUAUUGGGCGUAAAGCGAGCGCAGGCGGUCAAUUAAGUCUGAUGUGAAAGCCCCCGGCUCAACCGGGGAGGGUCAUUGGAAACUGGUUGACGUGAGUGCAGAAGAGGAGAGUGGAAUUCCAUGUGUAGCGGUGAAAUGCGUAGAUAUAUGGAGGAAAACCAGUGGCGAAGGCGACUCUCUGGUCUGGAACUGACGCUGAGGCUCGAAAGCGUGGGUAGCAAACAGG